rnacentral:rRNA from 1 species
CCUACGGGGGGCUGCAGUGGGGAAUAUUGGACAAUGGGGGGAACCCUGAUCCAGCCAUGCCGCGUGUGUGAAGAAGGCCCUCGGGUUGUAAAGCACUUUCAGUGAGGAAGAACGCCUGGUGGUUAAUACCCAUCAGGAAAGACAUCACUCACAGAAGAAGCACCGGCUAACUCCGUGCCAGCAGCCGCGGUAAUACGGAGGGUGCGAGCGUUAAUCGGAAUUACUGGGCGUAAAGCGCGCGUAGGUGGCUUGAUAAGCCGGUUGUGAAAGCCCCGGGCUCAACCUGGGAACGGCAUCCGGAACUGUCAAGCUAGAGUGCAGGAGAGGAAGGUAGAAUUCCCGGUGUAGCGGUGAAAUGCGUAGAGAUCGGGAGGAAUACCAGUGGCGAAGGAGGCCUUCUGGACUGACACUGACACUGAGGUGCGAAAUCGUGGGUAGCAAACAGGAUUAGAUACCCCAGUAGUC